rnacentral:lncRNA from 1 species
AAUGGCCCACAAACCGAACUUCCGAGCGGCACGCCUACCAGCCGAACAUCGGAGUGACCCGCCUGUGCGCAGCUUGAUCUGCCUACCACGCGUCGGCCUUGGUCAUCAUCUCACCGGCCUCGCCUUUCAUCUCUACCACCUGGAAAGCCGGCGUGGCCGACGGAGCAUAGACGACUGACUGUUCAAGGAACUGAAGCAGUGGACAGCUUGCUGUGAAAGAUGGGAGCAUUCUUCCUCUGGUCUGGACAAGCUCAUAUUAAGUGGGAGAUGUUCAAUAUCAACCCGAUGAGAGGCAGCAAAUGUGGAAAUGGACGCAAGUCAAGGACAGCUGCAGACAGCAAAAUAUUGAAACUGAUACAACGAUUGUGCUGAAUCACCGAAGAUACGAGCCAGAGUGCGAACAGUGUACUCGUACAGUUUCGCAGAAUAAACCCCAUCUUUAUGCGUUCAGAGCA